UCGUCUAUGAAUAUUUUUACAAACGCUCAAAGUAUGACAGAAUGUAUAUCAUAUUGCGUCUGAUAAACGUGACAAAUACAACUUUCAACAACGGAUCUCUUGGCUCUCGCAUCGAUGAAGAACGCAGCGAAAUGCGAUAAGUAAUGUGAAUUGCAGAAUUCAGUGAAUCAUCGAAUCUUUGAACGCACCUUGCGCUCCUUGGUAUUCCGAGGAGCAUGCCUGUUUGAGUGUCAUGAAAUUCUCAACUGCCCCAGGCUUUGUGGCCUGCGGGUGAAGUUGGACUUGGAGGUAUGCUGGCGCAUGAAUGGGCUUUUGUGCCCCGUCUCGCUUGUUGGCUCCUCUCGAAUGCAUGAGCUUUCCAAUCCUUGGCAAAGUAUCGUCGAUGUGAUAAUUGUCUACGUCGCCUGAGAAAGCCGAAAAGGGGAAAUCUUUGAUCACGCUGGGGUGACCUGCGUCUGACAAAUUCGACCUCAAAUCAGGUAGGACUACCCGCUGAACUUAAGCAUAUCAAUAAGCGGAGGAAAAGAAACUAACAAGGAUUCCCCUAGUAACUGCGAGUGAAGCGGGAAAAGCUCAAAUUUAAAAUCUGGCGGCCUCCGGUCGU
rnacentral:rRNA from 1 species